CUCUUCAUUAAACAUUAUAGCAACAGCUAGGUCCACCCUUCCACCCUUCAGUAAACAUUACAGCAACAGCUAGGUACACUCUUCAGUAAACAUUAUAGCAACAGCUAGGUCCACCCUUCCACCCUUCAGUAAACAUUACAGCAACAGUUAGGUCCACCCUUCAGUAGACAUUACAGCAACAGCUAGGUACACCCUUCCACCCUUCAGUAAACAUUACAGCAACAGCUAGGUCCACCCUUCCACCCUUCAGUAAACAUUACAGCAACAGUUAGGUCCACCCUUCAGUAGACAUUACAGCAACAGCUAGGUACACCCUUCCACCCUUCAGUAAACAUUACAGCAACAGCUAGGUCCACCCUUCCACCCUUCAGUAAACAUUACAGCAACAGCUAGGUACACUCUUCAUUAAACAUUAUAGCAACAGCUAGGUCCACCCUUCCACCCUUCAGUAAACAUUACAGCAACAGCUAGGUCCACCCUUCCACCCUUCAGUAAACAUUACAGCAACAGCUAGGUACACUCUUCAGUAAACAUUACAGCAUUAGCUAGGUACACUCUUCAGUAAACAUUACAGCAACAGCUAGGUACACUCUUCAGUAGACACUUUUAUAAAUUAAUUAUCAAUGUAUACUCUAGAGCGAUUUAAAACGAAAAUCAGUUACUAUGUGUUCCAAAUUACAGUAUCUUUCCUAAAGAUCAGACUACCUUAUGUA
rnacentral:sRNA from 1 species